GAUGAACGCUAGCUACAGGCUUAACACAUGCAAGUCGAGGGGCAGCAUGUCGGUUGCUUGCAACCGAUGAUGGCGACCGGCGCACGGGUGAGUAACGCGUAUCCAACCUACCCUUGUCCAUCGGAUAACCCGUCGAAAGGCGGCCUAACACGAUAUGCGGUUCUCAGCAGGCAUCUAACGAGAACGAAAUGUGAAGGAGAAGGAUGGGGAUGCGUCUGAUUAGCUUGUUGGCGGGGUAACGGCCCACCAAGGCGACGAUCAGUAGGGUUCUGAGAGGAAGGUCCCCCACAUUGGAACUGAGACACGGUCCAAACUCCUACGGGAGGCAGCAGUGAGGAAUAUUGGUCAAUGGACGGGAGUCUGAACCAGCCAAGUAGCGUGCAGGAUGACGGCCCUAUGGGUUGUAAACUGCUUUUAUAGGGGAUAAAGUGUGCCACGUGUGGCAUAUUGCAGGUACCCUAUGAAUAAGGACCGGCUAAUCCGUGCCAGCAGCCG
rnacentral:rRNA from 1 species